rnacentral:misc_RNA from 1 species
GAUGAAGAACGUAGCGAAAUGCGAUAAGUAGUGUGAAUUGCACAAUUCAGUGAAUCAUCGAAUCUUUGAACGCACAUUGCGCCUCCUGGUAUUCCGGGAGGCAUGCCUGUUCGAGCGUCAUUAAAAUCACUCAAGCUUAGGUUUACCUAUUGCUUGGUCUUGGAGAUGGAAGCCAAUUUAUUGGAAUCCUCUUCGAAAUUCAAUGGCGAAGACCCUUGCUCUCCCAAGUGUAGUAAUAACUUAUGUCACUGAAGGAAGCGAGAAAUCUUCUGCCGUAACCCCCAUAUUUCUAUGAUUGACCUCGGAUCAGGUAGGGAUACCCGCUGAACUUAAGCAUAUCAAUAAGCGGAGGA